UACGUAGGGUGCAAGCGUUGUCCGGAAUUAUUGGGCGUAAAGAGCUCGUAGGCGGUCUGUCGCGUCUGCUGUGAAAACUCGGGGCUUAACCCCGGGCCUGCAGUGGGUACGGGCAGACUAGAGUGCGGUAGGGGAGACUGGAAUUCCUGGUGUAGCGGUGAAAUGCGCAGAUAUCAGGAGGAACACCGGUGGCGAAGGCGGGUCUCUGGGCCGUAACGGACGCUGAGGAGCGAAAGCUAGGGGAGCAAACAGG
rnacentral:rRNA from 1 species